rnacentral:rRNA from 1 species
GACAGAGGUGCCGAGCGUUAGGCGAAGUCACUGGGCUUAAAGCGUGUGUAGGCGGAUCGUUAAGUACCUUGUGAAAUCCCACGGCUCAACCGUGGAACUGCUGGGUAUACUGGCGGUCUUGAGCCACCUAGGGGCGAGCGGAACAAACGGUGGAGCGGUGAAAUGCGUAGAUAUCGUUUGGAACGCCAACGGUGAAAACAGCUCGCUGGGGGUGUGCUGACGCUGAGACACGAAAGCCAGGGGAGCGAACGGG